UCCCCUGGCAACCAGCCCUCCUCCUUAGGGGCUUCCCAAAAGUCACCCCCCACACACAAACUCAGAAAUCUUACAGAAUGAAAAUAAACAUCAGCUUCAAGGCAGAAUAGAAAAGAGGGCCAACUAAGGAAAACAGCCUUGAACAAACAGACACCUGCCUAUAUGAUCUACCUGAUGCUCCUCACAGUUAACACUGCUACUGCCUUUCCCCCUCUUCGCUAGGUGCAAGGAAACCAGCUCAAAACAGGGAUUCACCUUCAAGGCACAGAAGGACCUCACAGACUGGAAAUCAUGGCUCCUGUCUCCUACCCCCAUUCUCCUCUCAGAGCUGUGUGGUUCUCUGGUGUUUCUCACAGGCCAAAUUAAACAUUCUACUGUUACCAAUAAAAGAAAACUACAUGGCUAUCAUCACCUGGGGAUAUCUCACACCACCACCCUAAAAGGAAAUGCAAAGUUACAUCAGUGACUUACCAGCUGGCUGUGUUUGUGCUAUUCUCUUUGGGACCACUUGGUAUGAUUUUACCCUGAACCCUGCUGUGGCACAAUCCACCAUUUAUUAUGCUCACCUCACCUGUACCAGAUCAAGUGCCCAGGAAGAUUUAGAGCUAGCCUAAAAGCCCACGCAAAGUGCUGCUUCUUAAAGAGUCUGAGAAUGCAAGAAGGUGUGCUCUCCUUGGGAAUGGACUAACUUUCAAGUAAUCUUCCUGAGCAAUUGUGCAAUUCUGUUUGCUGGAUUUCAGUGAACAUUCAUCUUACUGAAAAAUUAUUCCACAGCUGCUGAAUUUGAGCGAAUGAAUGACCCUGACUUCCACAGGAAAAUAUCAUUCAGGUACAGGAAAAAUGCAUUUCUGUAUGUUUGGUUUGAUUCAUCACAAAAAGAGCCAUGUAUGGGAGGAAAAAGGACUUUUAAUGGCUCAAAUCUUAUUCCUCCUACAUUUACAGGAUAAAUAUUAGUAAAUCUCUCCCCAAAAGAGAUGAGACUCAUAAAGCAAAAUCACCUCCUACGUGCUUCUGGGCAAGUUUCCCAUAGUGAUUACCCCAAUUACCUUUAUUAGAAAUAAAAAGAUGCGUGAAAUACUCA